rnacentral:rRNA from 1 species
AGAGUUUGAUCAUGGCUCAGAUUGAACGCUGGCGGCAGGCCUAACACAUGCAAGUCCAACGGUAACAGGAUAGCUUGCUAUCGCUGACCAGUGGCGGACGGGUGAGUAAUACUUAGGGAUCUGCCUCUGUGUGGGGGAUAACUAUUGGAAACGAUAGCUAAUACCGCAUAAUGUCUCCGGACCAAAGAGGGCUUUUAGCUCUCGCGCAGAGAGGAACCUAAGCGAGAUUAGCUAGUUGGUGAGGUAAAGGCUCACCAAGGCGACAAUCUCUAGCUGUUCUGAGAGGAAGAUCAGCCACACUGGAACUG